UGCAGCUGCAGCAUUUCCUUACUUUUCUGGACUGUUGGGUAUAUCUGAUUCAGAAGGGAAUGUAAGGUGCUCCCUGAGGAUUGCCACAGGUACAAGCUUAGACAAGAAGGUGUUUGCAGAAGCUGGAGAAGACAGGUUGUGUCCAUCUUGCUGCUUUGUGCCAUACACAAGGUAAUGCAGUACUUUGUAUUGGAGCAAGGAAGGCACUGGGGCUUGAACUGAAGCUCUAAAGCACUUUGCUGUGUCAUCUAUCUUCAUUGUCCCUUCUGCAAGCCACAGAAACAGACACGCCCGGUCUGGGAACCAAAACCACCUAGCAACAGUAGCCUGCACGAGGGCUAGAAAUGCUCUGCCAUUUCAUUUAUCUUCUCUGUCCCUCCUGGCAACAGGAGAGACAGCAGCUGAAGGCACACCCCGUCCGGAAAUCAGAGACACCCAGCACUGGACUCUGAGUAACAGCCUGAAAAAAAGCCAUCCCAUCCAUCUCCCGCUUCCUGUCUGCAGCACUGCACCUGGCACAGGAAUCAGUUAGGUAAACAAAUGCCAUCACAGCUCUGAAAAAUGAUGUCAGCUCCCCAUGCUGAUGAGAAAUGCAGUCAGCCUCUUCAUACCACAGCGCAGUUCGUGCUUCCCACUACCACGUGAGCCAAGCCCGUUAGCUACAACCUCGUCUCACCAAGCACAUGCCUGUACAAAUACACCCCAUUCGCAGAGUGUCAAAAAUCAAGACUGGAUGCAAUCCUGACAUUGGUACCUGCAGACAAGGUAACAGACAUGUCAUCAUGAAGUUUUGGUGGGAGAAGAGAAAUGUAUUCUCCCCAGACUUCCUAUUAAAAGCAUCUUGGUCUACUCAGGCAUAUCAGCAGGUACAAGGUCUAACCACCUGUCACUUCAUUUAUUAUUGGAAUGUGCAAACUGGGAGGAUGCAGCUUCUAGAAAUUCUCACAGAGGAAAUACAAGGUAAAGAGAUCUUUCUCGUGCAAUAAAAGCAAAGUCUUGGGCUCACCUAGAGAGUGUACUAAAGUAUAGAUUAAAGGUGUAACUUCACUUUUCCAGACAGUGAAUAGAAGUCAAUGGAUUUCAUUCUUAGGUUCCUCACUUCACCAAGACUAAUAUUUGGAAUAGGAGAUGAACUCUGUUAUGAAUACAGGGAUAGGUUUCAAUCAUGUUAUUUAGAAUAACUACUGUCUUAGCCUACAGUUCCACUCAUUUCACAGACAGUACUUCUGGGUUUGUUUUAUUUCAGAAAUUAUUUAUUUUUAUUUAGUUUGCUGUUUAAUAAACUUCUGUGUUGGUAGCUUCAGAAAAUAUAUUUUGGCUUUAUUUUUACUGUUCAUUUUAAUUUGCCUUUCCUAUAUUUGUAUAUUUCUCUAACCUAGUGUUAGACUAUGAAAAUAAAUCACUGUAUAUUUUUACUGUGUGCUUAUUAGAGCCCUUUUGCCUUGAGCUGAUCGUGUUAUGUAAUGCAUAAAUGAAGGAAGAGGACAUAAAAUCAGACAGACAGCACUGCUAUUUUCCAAUAUUUAAGAUAGCAAACCCUCUUCAGUUCCAAUGGUCUGCAAGCACUAAAACCAAGAAUUAAUUUGGUGACAGUGAAAACACAAUUCAUUUUAUCAUGUACUGAAAAGAUCUACCAGUCUACAUUGUGUAACUUGCCGAUAGGGAUCAGAGGUUGUCCAUCACACCAUCUGCCUUUCAUUCAGCAGGCUUCCAAUUUCCUACAGACAGUCGAACAGCUGGGAACAAGCCAGCCUGGAGGCGCAGAGCUGGGUGCUGUCAGCAUAUUGCUGGCAUUGUAGCUCAGGGCAUUGCACAUUCUUUCCCAGAAGUCUUGUUGAAGUGCUCUUGAAUAGGAGUGGUGAAAGGUCAUGAGUAAAAGGAGUAGUUGUAGGUCUGCCAGGAAUGAUCAAAGCCAUCUUAAAGUAUAACUCUUCAUCCCUGUGAGGUCUCGCAGCCAGGUCUGCAAAACCUCCUCCCUAAUCAAUGGCAUCGAAAGCAGCAAACAUGUUGAGUAUUAUUAGCAUGAUGAUUCUGACUGAAUUAAUGACAAUGGUGGAAAAGCCCUUGUGUGGCUCCCAUUACAUUAAGAUGCUCAUUAGAGCAUCUAAUGGAAUAACAAAAAGAUUUGUCAAAAAUUGCCUUUUCAAGUUUCUCUUAUCAAUACUGGCAAACAAAACAGUUUCUCACAAAGGCAUUUUUAAUUUAAUUCCAAAACCAUUUUGGAAACAUAAUAGUUCAUUAGAGUUUACAAGACUUGAAAGCUUUUGAUAAAUCUUUCCAAGAAUCUUAAUUAGAAAUGCUUAGAAAACUGCAAAAUGUGAAAUAGGUCCAUUUCAAAUGUUUCCAGUUUGAGAACAGAAAUGUUUUCAAAUUUCUGAUAAAAGCAGGUUUCCAGCUUCUGAUAAAUUCAAAUAUUGAUGUAAAGUUUGGUCUCCAAGAAGGGCCCUGUUCUAUGACUGGGCAUUUUGCUGACAUUUUAUCCUUGGGUCAGUGCUUCCAUUGUUGCUGCAGCUUAGACAACUGGAAAUUGGAAAUCCAUUCGUCAUGUUAAGUUGCUUACUAGAAUAAAAAUACAAGGAAGCUACUAUAGCCAGUCUUUCCAUCUUCCCACUGAAAGCGAGCUCAUUGAUUUCUCCAUGGAAGUGAAUGCCAAAAAAGAGCAUUAUCCAGUGGUUGGGAUACAAAAUUAGAAGUGAAACUACAUGUCUUCUCAUGCAUGCCAUUAGCUAAGUAUUUGGCAAGUAUAACGUGUCCAUUCCUCAUUGAGCCUACCUUCAAAAACUUCACAAUAUCAAUAUACAGAGCAGUGCUUGGAAUACCUGAACACAUAUGUGAAGAUGUUGCAAAGUGUUCCUUUGCCUAAUGAAAUAAUGCUUAUAUGGUUGAGAUGUCAUUCAUUCUACACUUAGUUUCUUACUCAAUCUGCAACUUUAAAUUUGACUGAGAUGAAGAACAUUUGUAGUUAUUAAGUUAUGGAAAUUUCCUGAAAAUUGUCAAAUAAACAGAGAGAUCCAAACUG